UAGGGAAUCUUCCGCAAUGGACGAAAGUCUGACGGAGCAACGCCGCGUGAGCGAUGAAGGCCUUCGGGUCGUAAAGCUCUGUUGUCAGGGAAGAACAAGUAUCGGAGUAACUGCCGGUACCUUGACGGUACCUGACCAGAAAGCCACGGCUAACUACGUGCCAGCAGCCGCGGUAAUACGUAGGUGGCAAGCGUUGUCCGGAAUUAUUGGGCGUAAAGCGCGCGCAGGCGGUUCCUUAAGUCUGAUGUGAAAGCCCCCGGCUCAACCGGGGAGGGUCAUUGGAAACUGGGGAACUUGAGUGCAGAAGAGGAGAGCGGAAUUCCACGUGUAGCGGUGAAAUGCGUAGAGAUGUGGAGGAACACCAGUGGCGAAGGCGGCUCUCUGGUCUGUAACUGACGCUGAGGCGCGAAAGCGUGGGGAGCGAACA
rnacentral:rRNA from 1 species